UCCGAAGGGGGCUAUCGUUGUUCGGAAUCACUGGGCGUAAAGCGCACGUAGGCGGAUUUGUAAGUCAGGGUUGAAAUCCCGGGGCUCAACCUCGGAACUGCCUUUGAUACUGCGAAUCUCGAGUCCGAGAGAGGUGAGUGGAAUUCCUAGUGUAGAGGUGAAAUUCGUAGAUAUUAGGAAGAACACCAGUGGCGAAGGCGGCUCACUGGCUCGGUACUGACGCUGAGGUGCGAAAGCGUGGGGAGCAAACAGG
rnacentral:rRNA from 1 species